rnacentral:rRNA from 1 species
GGAAGUAAAAGUCGUAACAAGGUCUCCGUUGGUGAACCAGCGGAGGGAUCAUUACCGAGUUUACAACUCCCAAACCCAAUGUGAACCAUACCAAACUGUUGCCUCGGCGGGGUCACGCCCCGGGUGCGUCGCAGCCCCGGAACCAGGCGCCCGCCGGAGGGACCAACCAAACUCUUUCUGUAGUCCCCUCGCGGACGUUAUUUCUUACAGCUCUGAGCAAAAAUUCAAAAUGAAUCAAAACUUUCAACAACGGAUCUCUUGGUUCUGGCAUCGAUGAAGAACGCAGCGAAAUGCGAUAAGUAAUGUGAAUUGCAGAAUUCAGUGAAUCAUCGAAUCUUUGAACGCACAUUGCGCCCGCCAGUAUUCUGGCGGGCAUGCCUGUCCGAGCGUCAUUUCAACCCUCGAACCCCUCCGGGGGGUCGGCGUUGGGGAUCGGGAACCCCUAAGACGGGAUCCCGGCCCCGAAAUACAGUGGCGGUCUCGCCGCAGCCUCUCCUGCGCAGUAGUUUGCACAACUCGCACCGGGAGCGCGGCGCGUCCACGUCCGUAAAACACCCAACUUCUGAAAUGUUGACCUCGGAUCAGGUAGGAAUACCCGCUGAACUUAAGCAUAUCAAUAAGCGGA